GUGAGUCAUUGCAAGUCAUUUUUAUUCAUAAAACACAAAUUUGAAGAUUUCAAAUUUUGACUGUCAAAGUGCAAAACACUAAAUUAACUUGGGCUUCCUGUUAGUUAUCCUGGAUAAUUCUAUUAUCUAAAUUAAGCACAUUUUAGUUUCGCUGUAAUGCGCCUUCAAAGUUUUCUUGAGGGCUUAAAGGACUACGGCACAUCACACCUAAUAGGAACUGGUGUCACACAAUCAUGACGGUACAUAAGUGUCAAUCUCAGAAAAAGAACAGACCCACAACAGGACAGACUUCACGUGGUCACCUCACGCCAUCAGGUCGGUAGAUCACAAACUUUAACAGAAAGAACACGGGCAAAGCAAAACUUGUGCAAGCAAAAAUGAAGGUGUUCCUGAGAUUCCACUUGCUACGAAGCAAGAUUUUUUUACAGCUAUGUUAGCAAUAGGGCUUUUGAUCUCCAACCGCUUGUUUGUCUACAAGGCAUGGUUUAUGAAGGUUUUCACAGAUAAAAUAACUCAAAUAAUGAAGAGAGCAGUUUCAAGAUGUGAGCACAAGCGCAGAUGAAAAAUAUCACACAUGUAGAUACACAUCACUGGGAAACGUUGGAAUUUUUUUGAAGCCCCGUAUCUAGUGCGGCUCGCUAAAAGGAUUAAAAGAUUUUGACACCAAAGGUGAAGAUGUUUAUUCUUGUUCUUGAAGGUUUUUUUUAAAAAACCUAUAACCUAAAAUAUUUUUAAAUAUUUUUGAUUGGAAAUUAGUUACAUAAUGAUAUAAAGACCAAAAUUUUUUAGGCCAUUUUCGUCACAGUAUCCUUAACAGUGAUUCAAGUGGAUUUAAUUUAACAGUGAUUCAAGUGGAUUUAAUUUAACAGUGAUUCUAGUGGAUUUAAUUUAACAGUGAUUUAAGUGGAUUUAAUUUAACAGUGAUUCAAGUGGAUUUAAUUUAACAAUGAUUCUAGUGGAUUUAAUUUAACAGUGAUUUAAGUGGAUUUAAUUUAACAGUGAUUCAAGUAGAUUUAAUUUAACAGUGAUUCUAGUGGAUAUAUUUUUCAACAGAAAUAUACCAUCUCAUUUGCAUGUGUUUUGUGUGGCACAAAAGAUUUGUCACAAAACUUGGAACCACCAUAGUCUUUAAAAAACUAAAGUCAAUUCAUACUCACACUUUCAAGGGAAAUAGCGAUCACCUCAUCAGAGAUGCUAGAGAACUCAAUCUUCAUUUGGGAUCGUACUGGAAAAAUAAACAGUAUAUAUACAUGAGAAUCACAGAGCUCGAAAUUAUGUAAAUUAAAAUGCUUUGGGAAAAAAAUUGUUUGUAAGCUCAAGUUCAAAAAGAAGUUCACAGAGAACUCCUGGGAUCGUACUGGAAAAA